rnacentral:rRNA from 1 species
GUGGGGAAUAUUGCACAAUGGGGGAAACCCUGAUGCAGCCAUGCCGCGUGUGUGAAGAAGGCCUUCGGGUUGUAAAGCACUUUCAGCGAGGAGGAAAGGUCAGUAGCUAAUAUCUACUGACUGUGACGUUACUCGCAGAAGAAGCACCGGCUAACUCCGUGCCAGCAGCCGCGGUAAUACGGAGGGUGCAAGCGUUAAUCGGAAUUACUGGGCGUAAAGCGCACGCAGGCGGUUGGAUAAGUUAGAUGUGAAAGCCCCGGGCUCAACCUGGGAAUUGCAUUUAAAACUGUCCAGCUAGAGUCUUGUAGAGGGGGGUAGAAUUCCAGGUGUAGCGGUGAAAUGCGUAGAGAUCUGGAGGAAUACCGGUGGCGAAGGCGGCCCCCUGGACAAAGACUGACGCUCAGGUGCGAAAGCGUGGGGAGCAAACAGGAUUAGAAACCCGUGUAGUCC